UACGAAGGGGGCUAGCGUUGCUCGGAAUUACUGGGCGUAAAGGGCGCGUAGGCGGACAGGUUAGUCAGAUGUGAAAGCCCAGGGCUCAACCUUGGAAUUGCCUUUGAUACUGGCUGUCUUGAGUACGGGAGAGGUGUGUGGAACUCCGAGUGUAGAGGUGAAAUUCGUAGAUAUUCGGAAGAACACCAGUGGCGAAGGCGGCUCACUGGCUCGGUACUGACGCUGAGGUGCGAAAGCGUGGGGAGCAAACAGG
rnacentral:rRNA from 1 species